UACGUAGGGGGCAAGCGUUGUCCGGAUUUAUUGGGCGUAAAGAGCGUGUAGGCGGCCAUACAGGUCCGUUGUGAAAACUGGAGACUUAACCUCCAGACGUCGAUGGAAACCGUAUGGCUAGAGUCCGGAAGAGGAGAGUGGAAUUCCUGGUGUAGCGGUGAAAUGGCGCAGAGUAUCAGGAAGAACACCCGUGGCGAAGGCGGCUCUCUGGGACGGUACUGACGCUGAGACGCGAAAGCGUGGGGAGCGAACAGG
rnacentral:rRNA from 1 species